GACAAACGCUGGCGGCGUACCUAAGACAUGCAAGUCGAACGGACUCCUCUGGUUUCGGCCUGGGGAGUGAGUGGCGGACGGGUGAGUAACGCGUAGGAACCUGUCGCCGGGUGGGGGAUAACGCGGGGAAACCUGCGCUAAUACCGCAUAUGGUCCGUAAGGAGCAAAGCAGCAAUGCGCCGGGUGAGGGGCCUGCGUCCGAUUAGCUGGUUGGUGGGGUAAAGGCCUACCAAGGCGACGAUCGGUAGCUGGUCUGAGAGGAUGGUCAGCCACACUG
rnacentral:rRNA from 1 species